UCAGUGUGAGCCAUUUUCACACGAUAAAAACCCUUUCUUCUCUGCCCCUAUUCACACUCAAGAAGCCCUAACAGAAAGACUCUCCUUGCUUGCUUAGGUGGGGGAAGGUCAAAAAUAAAAGCAAGCUACUAUUGAGAAACGCAAUGGAUCCAAGCUAUUCAAAAAUGGACCCAUCAGAGUUCGAGCCUACGGCUUCGGAGUUGAAAGAUCUGCAAAGAGAGCUCGACGACAAGACGAAAAAGAUGGAAAAGAUGAAGAAAGAGAUUGAAGCUACAAAAGUUUGUUUGGAGAAGAAGGAGAAGAAAAUUUCAGAGAAAGAAAUGGAAGAAUUUAAGGGGUUGUGUGAAAAAUACAAUAGCUUGAGAAAGGAAUACAAUGAAACAUUGGAGAAACAGACAAGGGAAUCCUAGGAAAAUUGUGUAAUUAAUGACCAAAGACUUGAAUGUCUCUAGCAUGUUGUUUAAAUUAUUAAUAAAAUCCAAAUUAAUUUA